GGGGCUGGUGGCCAAGACCUGGGGGGUGGCAGUGAGGUCUUCAGGAUCAGGCUCUGGGUCUUCAGAAACCGGGUCCAGAUCUUCAGGAUUGGGGUCUAGGUCCUCGGAGUCAGAGUCGAGCUCUUCAUAAACGGGUCUCAGGCCUUUGUGGCCUGGGUUCCUGACCAGGACUGAGCGCCGCAUUUCAGGCGUGGAUGUGCCCGCAGCUUCUGGGGCAAGACCUGCAAGGGCAAGGAUAGAGGGUAGAGGGUAGGUGGGUUCUGUGGGAGCGGGGGUGUCUUUUGGAGUCUGGUUAGGGAUGAGAGACGGGACCCGAUUGUGCCCCCAGAACCCACUUCUUUUUUUUUUUUUUUUUUUUUUUGAGAUGGGGUCUCGUUCUGUUGCCAAGGCUGGAGUGCAAAGGUACCAUCUCGGCUCACUGCAACCUCCGCCUCCCAGGUUCAAACAACUCUCCUGCCUCAGCCUCCUGAGUAGCUGGGAUUACAGGUGUCCACCACCAUGCCUGGCUAAUUUUUGUAUUUUUAGUAGAGAUGGGAUUUCAGCAUGUUAGACAGGCUGGUCUCAAACUCCUGACCUCAGGUGAUCUGCAUGCCUCAGCCUCCCAAAGUGCUGGGAUUACAGGCGUGAGCCACCGCGCCCAGCCCCACUUCUUUAUUUUUAUUUUUUUGAGAUGGGGUCUCACUCUGUCACCCAGGCUAGAGUGCAGUGAUGUGAUCAUACAUAGCUCACUGCAGACUGGAACUCCCGGGCUCAAGCGAUCCUCCCACCUCGGCCUCUCAAGUAGCUGGAAUUACAGAUGCACCACCACACUCAGCUAACUUCAAUUCUUUCUUUCUUUCUUUCUUUCUUUCUUUCUUUCUUUCUUUCUCUCUCUCUCUCUUUCUUUCUUUCUUUCCUUCCUUCCUUCUUUUCCUUCCUUCUCUCUCUUCUUCCUUCUUUCCUUCCUUCUUUCCUUUCUCUCUCCCUCUGUCUCUCUUUUUUGAGAUGGGGUGUCGCUAUGUUGCCCAGGCUGGUAUCAAACUCCUGGACUCAAGCAAACCUCUGGCCUUGGCCUCAGAAAGUGCUGGGAUUACAGGCAUGAGCCACUGUGCCUGGCCAAACCCCACUCACUUCUGAGCAUACACGUGGAUCCUUCCCUUGUCUCUGACUGCAAGGAGAUUUCUGACUUACCCCAGCCAGGGCAGGGAGUUGAGGGAACCAGGUGGGACAUGGUAGGACCCUCCCCUCUCAGCCCCAAACCUGGACGGAGGUCAUGAGACCCAGCACUAGAGGUUUCUAGUCCCCAACUCCAUGGCUCUGCACCUCUCUCCAACCUGGGCUCCUCUUGUGGGAAGCUGGGGUCCUGUGGAGGAGACAGUCCUAGCUUCCUACCCCCUUGCUGGGCGUCCCCACAUGGGGAACAGUGUGGGUGUCAGCGUUUCUGUGCUCCUGAGCACAUGGCCUGAAUUCUUGUCCCAUACUUGGAGGCGGCAGAUUAAUUUAGGGGGCGAGUUCUGGUAGGGAGGCCCCCCUCCAGCAGCAGCAUUCUGAGCUCUAGAACCCAUGUCUGGGGGAUAAGAAUAUGGAACAAAUAACAUCAGGUAUCCCUCCCAAGUCACUGGGGAAAGACAAGAAGACUCUGGCUUGCCCUCUGGGGAAAAGAAAACCUGAAUUCCAGAGCUCACAGCUCCAGGUGGGAGUCAGUGUCAAAUCCUCUCUCUUAGACAGAUCGGAAAUGCCCUUUCCUACAGCCAGAUAGUGAGCAUGGUAGAGUGAUAUUUGGGACCCCUCCUGGUGAGGAGGGAUGGGUAGGGAGACUCAUGAACCCCAUAGGCAGGAUGGUGGGGACAGUUGUUAGUAUACCUGUUUUAUUUAUUUAUUUAUGUUUGAGAUGGGGUCUUGGUAUGUUGCCCAGGCUGGACUCAAACUCCUGGGCUCAAAUGAUCCUCCCACCUCAGCCUCCCAAAGUAUGGUGAUUACAGGCAUGAGCCACCAUGCCCGGCCAGUAUACCUGUUUUCCCUAUUGGCUAGAAGGUCCUGCAUUUUAACUUCUAGCUGGAGGAUAGGCAAAAAUAAUACCUGGGGACCCUCUGAAGUUAAUGGGGGAACGCCUGAGUCAUCUCCUCCCAUGGCUGGGACAUGGCGGGUAGUGUCAGCACACUUGUAGCCCUUCCUGCAGGAAGGAUCCUGAACUGAAUUGCCAGCUUGUGGCUAGGGGCAGACUGGGAGGUAGAGGGACAAAAGCUGGAACCACUUCUGGGGAGCAAUGGGAGCCCAGGAUGACCUGCCGGGAGGAUGCCUUGAGCUCCCCACCCCAUGGCUGGGUGUUGAGGUGUCAACAAUGAAUGAUCUGCUCCUGGGAGAAGCUGUGGGGGGACCUGUGGCUCCCCUUCUGGGGAAAGGAAUACACUGAGCCACAACCCCAUAGCUGGGAGUGUGCAGGCAAACAGAGCCGAGUUCCUGGACGGCGGUCCUCAACCCAGACCCCAUAGUUGGAGAGUGGGGGAAACAAGACCUGGGACCCCUCCUGCAUCAGGGGCAGAGGAACCCUUAGAUUGCCUCCAGGGGAAGGAGCCCCCUGAAUUCCCAUCUCUUAACUGGAAGGUGGGAGGAGAAAUCACUUAAGUCUUUCCUGAGUUCCCAGGGGUGAGGGCAGGUGGACCCCUGGAUCACCUCCAGGGAAAGGAGCUUCCAGAACUGCAGACCCCAAGACUGGAGGGGCAAGGGAAC
rnacentral:lncRNA from 10 species